CCUCCGCGCCUGACUCCCGUCUCCCCCAGAGUCCAGAGAAGGCUAGCCCAGCCCGGUCCCCAAGAAUCCCCCUCGGGCCGCCCAGCGGUGGGCCCCCUUACCUUGGCCUCGCAUUUCCGAUGACAGGAGAAGCUGCAGACUGCAAGAGAGCGAGACACAGAAAGAAAGUUUGUAGCCGCGAGCUAUGAAAUGGAAACUCUGCAGCAAUCUCCUCCCACCCGGCCCCAAGAGCUGGAGGGAGGGGAGCAGGGUGUUUGGAAUGGGCCUGGGGGAAUGAAUGAAGGAGAGCUGGCCGGUCAGGGUUCACCCCCGAGAAGCCUGGACCCUGGCGGGAGGAGGGAGCAGAAAGCCCGCAGCCCAGCGCAGCUCACGGAGCCCCUUGGCAGUUGCGGUGGCUGGGGGAGGGGGCCCAGCUUCCCACGCUGGCCGCUGGCCAGAAGCUGAGGUGGCCCCAAGCUUCAGGGGCUCAAGAGAAACUCGGGAGAAAAUCCAGCCCCAGCAGAGAAACUCCCAAGUUCAAGGGGCACCCAGCCCCUCCGAGGGACCCACGGACAGACCUGGGAGCCACACGCCACACAGAGCCACACAAGACACCCAUAGUUCACAGUGACCUCUGGAGUGCUCAGUAGCCCCUGGAAGUCUUUAAGCACCACGAGCUCUGAAUCUGAGCCGGCCAGCAAGGACACAAGGAGGAAGGAAGUCACUGAGUACAAAAUGGAACAGGGCAAAAGGGUGCAGAGAAGCAUCCAUUAGAGGACAGGAAUGGAAGAACAAGAAACAGGAGACCUGCCUUUCCCAGAGUUUAGGGUCCUGGCUCCUCCUCUAUGGUACUGCUCUACUUACUAGCCAUGAAAUCUUGAUGAAACCACCUGAUCCAUCAGCUUCUUCCUUUGUAAAAUACCUGCCCUGUCUACUAAAUCAAAGGAAAGAAUGACUGUUAAAGUGUUUCAUAAACUGUAAAGAGAAAUCAAGACAUGUAAGAAGACCAAAAGUCUACAGGGAUUUGGAGAUGAGUAAAAUUUCAAGUAGAAAAUAACAAGUUCAUAAGAGGAGCAGAAUGGUUGGAAAAAUUAUAUGAGAGAAGAAGCACAUAAAUCUCUUUGAAGAACUUGGACACUGUGGAGGAAUAGAUGAAGAAAGUGACUCAGUUUGAGAUCUGCCCUUCUGCUAAGAAAAAAAGCCGCCCAGUCCUACCGAGAUGCCCCCUCCACCAAGCUGAGUGAUGCCCAGUAGACGCAGCACUGGCAGGGUCGCUAAAUCACCUUUGAGGAAACGGGAAAUGGGCAGUGAGGGAAGCAUGACUCCGCUCCUUGAUGGAAAUGACCUCUGACAGCCCAGCAUCCAUCACCCAUCACUGAUGCUUCCCAGGAGUCUCUUCUGCCCCUCUUGCCCCUUCCUCCCCAGCCUCUGCCCCGUGGCUGUCCCGUGUCCCACUCCCCACUCACCUUUGCAGACGCUCCCCUCUCGAGUGAUCACCUGUCGGCAGAUGCCACAGGGCUUCACCUUUUUGAAGGUCUUUACUUUGAAGGUGUGGGUGGUGGGUGCCUCCAGGUCUUCAGGCUGUGGAAAAAUAAGGGGCAGAGUUCUUAAGUCCAGGGGGCUGGGGGAGGCAGAGGAGGCACUGGGGAGCUCUCCCUGACCCAUUCUUUGUUUUGGAACCAGACCUGAUCUCAGACCCAGUGGAGCAGAAAGUCAUAGGCCAGUGAAGAGUGUGGAAUUCCUUCCCAUCCAAGGGCCUGGGUUUGAAUGCUGCCUCCUCAAACUGUGUGACCUGAGGCCAGGCACUUAAUCUUUCUCAACCUGAUUCUCCUCCCUAAUAAAAAUGAGGGGGCUGCACGCUAAAUCCCUUCAACCUGUGACUGACUUGGCAGGCUUUAGAAGAAGAACAA